UUUUCCCCGGGGGAUUGCUGCACCUAUUUAAAGUUAUAUAUAGCUCUGGCCAUCUAGUUUCAUCUUCUUCACUAGUAUCACAAGUGCCGUGACGGGCGACCUUUUCUCUCUGAUUAUCUUUAUUCAUCUUUUUCCCAUUUUGCUCUCCCCUUAGCUUUAUCCAUUCGCUGAAUUUUCGUUGAUUUAUGUAACAGGGUUUGUCUAUCCCAAUCAUUUUUCUGUUCCAAUCAUUUUUUCCAAGUAUUCUUAAACGUGCAGGCUCCACUUGUACGAUCGAUCCUUGAAUUCGUGCCGCUGGUAUUACAUUUUUUUUUUUUAAAGAAAAUGAAGGGAAAUAUGGCAAAUCCAUUGCACUUGACAUCCCUGAAUCACAUCUCACUUAUUUGUAAAUCCGUGGACAAUCAAUGGAUUUUACACCAGCGUUCUUGGGUUCGUCCCCGUUAGGAGGCCUGGAUCGUUCAAUUUUGAUGGAGCAUGGUUGUUUAGUUAUGGGAUUGGAAUACAUCUAUUGCAAGCCGAAAAUCCGGACGACAUGCCGGAGAAGACCGUAAUCAAUCCCAAGGAUAAUCAUAUAUCUUUUCAGUGUGACAGUAUGGCUGCAGUGGAGAAGAUGCUGGCGGAAAUGGAAAUCAAGUACGUGAGGCAGCGAGUGGAAGAAGGUGGGAUUUAUGUGGAUCAGCUGUUCUUCCAUGAUCCAGAUGGAUUCAUGAUUGAGAUAUGCAACUGUGACAACCUGCCAGUGAUCCCAUUGGCCGGUGAGAUGAUCCGUUCAUGCUCAAGAGUGAAUCUGCAGAUGAUGCAAGCUCAGCAACACCUACCCGUAGUGCGACCUUAGUUACAAAGGAUUAAUUAGCUGAAACGUCAGAUACGCGUCUACGCAGCUUCUGUCGCUGCCCGCUGGCUUUGCCUACCUGUCGUCCCUGUUAAUUUGUCAGUACUACUAUCACUGUACUAUGUAGUCGUAGCAGGUGUUUUUCAUGUGUAGCAAAUAGCAAUUUGGCCUGGUUAGGUUUAGUAACGACAAUAUCCGCCAAAUGAGAUGCUCAGCUUGCGUCUGAUGUGACUGUUGUUGGUCGUGAAUUUCUGUCUCCUCCCUUUUCCCUACCGCUGUAAUAGGCAUCAGCAGCUAAAUUUCUUGUGGGAUGCACGUAAAUUUCUUGUUUAUCCAGCUCCCUGGAUUUGUCUGGAAGUGAAAGGUCAUAAAUAAAAUAAUCAGUUGCUAGCUUAA